GAGGUGGAGAGUUAUGGUGGAGGAAGCUAGUCCUGUCUGAUGGAGGAAACAGGGCAGAGGCGUGGAGGGAGACGCACAGUGCUGGUGUGAGGAGCCGCGAGCAGGCCAGGCCUGUAAAGCAGCGUGAUGGGAACCAGGAUAGAGAAGGCAAGUCGGGGUCCUGUGGUCGCUGAAGAAUUUGAAUGAAAUCAGUAAACAGGUGAGAGGGAUCCAUCGCAAGAGCAUGGGAUGAAACGAGCAGUAGUCCACGGUGAUUCCUCUGCAGCGAUACUGCAUAGUGGAUGGAUUAGUUUGUGGUUCCUGGGAUCUUCUGUGUAUUCUGUUGAAGCUCAAUAAUCACAUUACUGCGGACCUCCAAAAUUUUACAAAGGACUGCACAGUGAGUAUUCAGCCGAUAAACUAAACCACAGCUUAAUACUGUGAGAUGAAAUAAAGCACACCAAUUAAAAGUAAACACUGUUUAAACCUACCUCAAUGAAUUUCUAAAGUGUCAUACAUUUAUUAUAUUCUCUACUUGUAAAAUAUUUUGUUGUGUGUAUUGCCAAGUAUUUCAGGAUUUUAUGGGUAUAAUGUAUUCUAUUAAUUUAACUGGAAAACUUGUAGUUAUUCAACAAACAAACUAAAAGUGUUGGCAGAGAUGUAAUUUUAAAGCACAAUCCCACUCAUUCGUUCAGUGUUACAGCUGCUCCUUGUUUGUUUAAUAAUAGAACUGAUGAGUAGUUAAUUUGAGAGGAAAGCUGGUGCAGGUGUAGUGCUAUUUGGAUGUCAUGGAGGACACAUGUGACAUCUGCAGCUAGCUAUAUGGUAAAAGCAAAACAGAAGUUAAAAUCAGCCCUGUGUCAAAUCUGCAUAGUUUUAGGCUUCAGGGAGUGUCUCUGUAUGUUGAGGCAGGAAGUUUAGUAGAAUUCCAAGGAAGUAAGAGAGGAACAAACAUUUGUAGAUUUUGCCUUCUAUGGGGGAACUCAUUCAAUCAUCAGGAGAACUCUUCAAUAGGUUUUAUUUGCUCCGGUUUACCUAGAUGAAAAAUUGAGACCCAGAAUCCAUGCUUUUCUUUCCUGGUUACACAUUAGAAUCACCAAUGUGACAUUAAAACACACACACACACACACACACACACACACACACACACACACUGCACACCCAUUAGGAUGGCUGCUAUCAAAAAAGAAAAAACAAAAAAAUCAGGGGCCAGGCACGCUGGUUCACACCUGUAAUCCCAGCCCUUUGGGAUCACCUGAGGUCAGGAGUUUGACAGCAGCCUGGCCAACAUGGUGAAAUCUCAUCUGUACCAAAAAAUAAAAUAAAAUAAAACAAAAAACAACACACACACACACAAUUAGUCGGGCAUGGGGGCACACAUGUGUAAUCUCAGCUAAUUGAGAGGCUGAGGCACGAGAAUCGCUUGAACCUGGGAGGCGGAGGUUGCAGUGAGCCGAGAUCACGCCACUGCACUGCAGCCUGGAGACAGAAGGAGACUCGGCCUCAAAACAAAUCAAAACAAAAACACCCAGAAAAUAACAAGUGCUGACAAGGAUGUGGAAAAAUUGUAACUCUUGUGCAUUGAGGGUGGGUAUGAAAAAUAGUACAUCAGCUGUGGAAAACAUACCAUUCCUCAAAAAUUUAGACAUAGAAUUACCAUAUGAUUCAGUAAUCCCACUCACAUCUAUAAAUCUCUAUAUCUGUAUCUUUAUCUACCUAUCUCUAUCUUCAAAAGAAUGGAAAGCAGUUACUCAGAUACUUGUACACCUGUGUUCUCUCCCCACCCCCCCUUUUUUUUUUAAUAAAUGGGCUCUCACUGUGUUUCCCAGGCCGGAGUGCAGGGGCUGUUUAUAGGCACGACCCCCUGCUGCGGGGCUGUCCACCGGCAUGAACCCCUGCUGCGAGGCUGUUUAUAGGCAUGAUCCCCCUGCUGCGGAGCUGUCCACAGGCACGGACCCCUGCUGCAGGGCUGUCCACAGGCACGACCCACUGCUGCGGGGCUGUCCACAGGCACGACCCCCUGCUGCGGGGCUGUCCACAGGCAUGACCCCCUGCUGAGGGGCUGUCCACAGGCACGAUUUCCCUGCUGCGGGGCUGUCCACAGGCAGGAUCUCCCUGCUGCGGGGCUGUCCACAGGCAUGACCCCCUGCUGGUCAAACUGGGAGUUGUGCCCUGCUUUGUCUCCAAUCCAUGCCGGUUCGCCCCUCCUUAGGCAACCUGGUAGUCCCUUAUCCCAUGAGGUCACUGUACUAAUGUCUAAUUUCGUGCAGAUGUCUGAUCAACACUGCACACUGCAGCUCAGGACCCCUGGGCUCAAGUGAUCUGAGUAGCAGGAACUACAGGCGCAUGCCACCACACCUGCCUGCUACACCUGUGUUCAUUGCAGCAUUACAGCAGCCUUAUUUACAGGAACCACAAAAUGGAAACAACCUAAAAAGUCUAUUGAGGGAUAGAUGGAUAAACAAAAUGUGGUAUAGAUGUAAAAUGGAAUAUUAGUGAUCUUUGAAAAGGGAGGGAAUUCUGAUACUUGCUACCACAUAGAUAAAAACAUUAUGCUAAGUGAGACAUCAAACAAAGACUACCUGAUUCCAUCUAUAUGAAGAACCUGGAACAGGCAAAUUAAUAGAGACACAAAGUAGAAUAGAGGUUUUCAGGAAUGGCAGGAGGUGGAAAUGGGCGAGGUUAGUGUCUAAUGGGCACAGAGUUCCUAUCUGGGAUGAUAGAAUGUUUCGGAAAUGGAUAGUGGUGAUGACUGCACAGCAUUGUGAAUGUAGCUAAUGACGUUGAAUUCUUUACCAGAAAACAAAAACAAAAACAGAAACACAUUGCUUAAGCUUCUCAGUCCGACAGGUGACGUGCUUGGUGUGAGCUGGGGCCUAAGCCCAGGCUGCCCUCGCCAGAGCUGCUUCAAGACCCCUCUUGGUUGUACUUAGGCCUGAUUGCUCUGGAGAGUCCCAUACAUGAAAGCCAGCUCUGGUUCUAUCUCUUCUCACUCCAGUCCUCCCUGCCCCCACCAUCCCCCAGCUGGGCAUUAUGAGAAAAGCAAGAUGACUAUGAGUUUUUUGAUUAUUUAUAUGACCAAAUAAUCUCAAGGACUAUUGCUAACUAACCCAUGGGACUCCCACUACCUUCAUGAGGCUCGGAUGAGGUGAAGGGUCCCUAAAAUCGUGCCAACUAGUCAGGAACUCAGUUGUCAAUAAUUUCUUUAUUUGUGAUACAAGCAGGCGUGGGGAAAGAGAAAUGAACAGACUUGGAAGCUUCUCCGAGGCCCUAGAGAAGACCUCUGGGUUCCGAACACCAGACACCAGGAGUAAGGAGGGUAGUUGAUGAUUUCCCACUCUUUCUCCAGCCCCUGCUCCUCUGUUUCUCCCCUUCACCCACUGCAGCUUCCUCAGGUCCUGGGUCCCGCGCCAUCAUCUCUUCGAAUGACCUCCCUUCUAUUCCUGUUAAUAAAGGAGCAUCAGCUAAGUGAAUAUGGUGAUUUGCAUACACUUACAUUGAUUCAGAAAUUGUGUUUAAUUCCACACAAGAAAAAGAAUGUGGAUCUUUUUCACUGGGAAAAAAAGUCGCCAUGUAUCAUCUUAAUCAUGUUUUCCUGGGAUAUAAUCUAUACGUGACGCCCAUUUAAGCCUUCAUUGCAUCUAUGCACGUGGUUUGCUUUCCUCUUGUGUGAAAUAGUGUUGGACCACACGGGUUUGGGCCACAGCCCAGGAAGACACAAUCCUGAACGUCAUAAUCCCAAAUGUUGAAGUCCCAUAAGAUCUAAAUCUGUACAGUCUAAAAUCCUGAAAAUUACAAUCCUAAAAAAACAAAAUUCUCAAAAUACAAUUCUGGAAAAAAAUUAUUAACACAUUCUUUAAGAAGCAUUUAUUGGGCAGCACAUGGUGGCUCAUGCCUUUAAUCCCAGCACCUUUGGAGGCCGAGGCGGGUGGAUCACAAAGUCAGGAGAUGGAGACCAUCCUGGCUAACACGGUGAAACCCCAUCUUUACUAAAAAUACAAAAAAUUAGCCAGGCAUCAUGACGGGUGCCAGUAGUCCCAGCUACUCGGGAGGCUGAGGCAGGAGAAUCGCUUGGACCCAGGAGGUGGAGGUUACAGUGAGCCGCAAUCGCACCACUGCACUCCAGCCUGGGCGACAGAGUGAGACUCUGUCUAACAACAAAAACAAAAAACAUUUAUUUAUAUUUUUAAGAUGGAAUUUAUUUGAGAAACUUAUAAAAACACAACAGAACCCUUCCUAGGCCACUUUACACAAUCAAUAGGCAAUAAUAACAUGCAUAUAUUUGCAAGCGUAAAACUCAGGUAUGCUAACGAUAGUCUCACGGGUAUAAUGGUAAUGAGCAGAUGAGUUGUAUUUGUAAAGAAAUGGGUCAAAAAGCAAAAUGUAUAAAAGCGUGGUUGGUAACUGGGUGAACUCAGCUUUAUAACUUAGGUCAUCUGGAAUACUGUGACAGACAACCUAAGUCUUUUGACCAGAUUCAUCAAAAGCUGGGAUGGGUCACCAUGUAAUAUUCAGUCAAAGAGCUGAGAUCCUAAGGAAUUUUCUCUUUCCCAAAUGCAAAUGUGCAAAAGGAUAUCUUCUCAUUUAUUGAGGAAAUUUUAAUGUUUUUAUGUACAUGUACAAUGCUUACACACAAAGUCAGUGUUGUGAUAAUACACUGUUGUGGAGUCAAAUUUGCAAAAAAAAAAAAAAAAUGCAUAAAACAAAUUAGAACUCUCUAAAAGUCUUUGCAAAAUUUAUACCUCCAGUAUUGGAAAUGAUACUAAGAUGAAAUACAUAGCAUAGCAAGUUGUAAAAAAUAAUGCUGACAAUUUAAAAUAGUGGAAAAAAUGGAAAAAGAAACACUAAAAAGAAAAUUGACAUAUAAAAAGUAUAUUACAUGGAUAGAUUAUGAGCAAUUGCAGAGUUCAUCAUAGCUCGCUGACUUUCAUGAUCAUUAACUAUAUUUUGAAGUCUUGCAUCACGAUGAAUUGUUGCCUUUUUUGUUUUUAGGAUUUGACUCUCCUCAUAAAAUACAUUCACAUUCAUUUUCUACGUGGCACUGCUCUUUUUGAAAUUCUUCUGUAAUUUGAUACACACUGACAUGAGCAUUUCCUGUUACAUUUUCCAAUCUUCUAUGCCUUUCUUGUCUAUUGUUUUGAGUAUGUGGAAAUCCAUUUUGCAGGCCCUCAUAUACAGGCCACUCAUUUGGCAGAAACAAUACUCUUGAUUGAACAGCAACACCAUUGCCUAAAUGACUCUUAUCCUACCUUGCACAUCAUUAUUUUCAAACCAGUAUGUAAUAUUUCUGGCUUCUUCAGGCAAUUGUGGUUUUAAUUUAUCAAAAGCUCCUGGAAUUUUAUCAGGUGGAAGGAAUGCCAAUACAGACAAAUGACACAUUUUUAAACUAAAAUUUUCAUCAUUGCCAUAUGGCCUGGCCAAUCCACUCACCUGAAUUUUCUGGCAAAUGAGCUGGGCUGAAUGGAAGAUAUAAAUUUUACUGGUAACAACUUGCAAUUCACUUUUAGAAGCUUUGAUCACACCUAAUUAAAAACUUGUCAUUAUAAUUUGGGGAUCCAAUUGAAAUCUAUUUUCUUCUGCAAAGCCAUCCAAAUCUUCAAAUAAGCUUUUAUAAAGUACUUCACUUUUUCCAGUUAUUAAACCAUAAACGUGCAGUUUAAAUUACAGAAUUUUGUAAUCCAAUGGGGGCAUAAACUGCAUAAAGUCGAUUUAAAAAACCCACUGGGGACAGUUUUGAAAGUGCCGUUCAUCAGCCAAAGUGAAACAUGCACCAGUUUUGUUAUGUUAAACAAAUAUGUUUAUCUUUUUUGACAGUCAAAUCCCUAAUCAAGAAUAGUUCAUGAUUUAAUAUAUCUUGUAGCACUGGAGGAAGCUCUGUGCCAGAAGGUGUCUGGCUCAGAAGGCCACUGAAUUUGUUGAACUAUUUUUAUUAUCUGACAAAAGGCAUUUUGUGAAGGCAAGCAUGGUGCUACGUGUAGAGGUGCUUGGUACAUGAUUACAUAAUUUGGCAGACAAGAUUUUGUUCAUUUUUAACUUUCAUUUUAACUUCUUCUGUGAUAUUCAAGACAUUCAAAACAGUGACAGCAGAUCUUCCCCACCUAGUCUGCUCAGACCCACACACUGAUCUCUUCUGAGAAAACCAUCACAGUCAUACCCAAAAUAAUGCUUUCCCAGCUUUCCAGGGAUUCCUUAAUCCAGUCAAGUUGACACCUGAAAUUAAGUCUGCAAGUCCACCCCUUGUAGAUGUGGCACCCAUAUGGACCUCCUUAAACCAUACAUAAUUUCCAAAUAAAAAGAAAACAAAGCAACAGUUGUACCUAACAUGAUGCAACUAACGUGGUACAACUCUCCUGUGAUUGUGAUUUUCUGGAUUUUAGAUGUUAAGAAUUUAGACUUUAGGACUGGGCAUGGUGGCUCAUGCCUGUAUUCCCAGCACUUUGGGAGGCCAAAUCAGGAGGAUCACUUGAGCCCAGGAGUUUGAAAUCAGCCGGGGCAAUAAAGUGAGACCCCAUGAUAUGGUUUGGCUGUGUCUCCAACCAAAUCUCAUCUUGAAUUGUAGUUCUCAUAAUCCUCACAUAUCAUGAUGGGGACCCAGGGAGAGGUAAUUGAAUCAUGGAGGCAGUUACCCCCAUGCUCUUCUCAUGAUAGUGAGUGAGUUCUCACAAGAUCUGAUGGUUUUAUAAGGAGCUUUUCCCCCUUUGCUUGCGCUUCUCCUUCCUGCCACCUCGUGAAGAAGGUGACUUGCUUCCCCUUCACAUUCUACCAUGCUUGAAAGUUUCCUGAGGCCUCCCCAGCUAUGAUGAACUGUGAGUCAAUUAAACCUCUUUCCUUUAUAAAUUACCCAAGCUUGGUUAUGUCUUUAUUAGCAGCAUGAGAAUGGACUGAUACAGUAAAUUGGUACUGAGGUAGUGGGGCGUUGCUAUAAGGAUAUCUAAAAAUGUGGAAGUGAAUUUGGAACUGGGUAACAGGCAGAGGUUGAACAGUUUGCAGGGUUCGGAAGAAGACAGAAAAAUGUGAGGAAGUUUGGAACUUCCUAGAGACUUGCAGAAUGGUUUUGAGGAAAAUGCUGAUAGUGACAUGGACAAUGAAGUCCAGGCUGAGGUGGUCUCAUAUGGAGAUGAAGAACUCGUUGGGAACUGGAGUAAAGGUGACUCUUGCUAUGCAAAGAGACUGAUGGCAUUUUGCCCCUGCCCUAGAAAUCUGUGGAACUUUAAACUUGAGAGACAUAGUUUAGGGUAUCUGGCAGAAGAAAUUCCUAAGUAGCAAAGUGUUCAAGAGGAAGCAAAGCAUAAAAGUUUUAAAAAUUUUGCAGCUUGAUGAUGAGAUAGAAAAGGAAAACCCAUUUUCUGGAGAGAAAUUCAAGCCAGCUGCAGAAAUUUGCAUAAGUAAAGAGGAGCUGAAUAUUAAUCACCAAGACAAUGGGAAAAUGUCUUCAGGGCAUGUCAGAGACCUUCAAGGCAACUCAAACCAUCACAGGCCAGGAGGCCUAGGAGGAAAAAAUGGUUUCAUGGGCCCAGUGCAGGGACUUGCUGCUCUGUGCAGUCUCAGGACUUGGUUCCCUGUGUCCCAAUCAUGGCUAAAGGGCCAAUGUACAGCUCAGGCCAUGGCUUCAGAGGGUAAAGGCCCCAAGCCUUGGCAGCUUACAUGAGGCGUCGGGCCUGCGGGUGCACAGAAGUCAAGAAUUGAGGUUUGGGAAUCUACGCCUAAAUUUCAGAGGAUGCAUGGAAACGCGUGGGUGUUCAGGCACAAAUUUGUGACAGGGACGGAGCCCUCAUGGGGAACCUCUGCUAGGGCAGUGACUGCAGAAGGGAAAUGCGGGGUCAGAGCCCCCACACAGUCCCCACUGGGGCACUGCCUAAUGGAGCUGAGAGAAGAGGGCCACCAUCCUCCAGACUCCAGAAUGGUGGACACACUGACAGCUUGCACCGUAUUGUCUGGAAAAGCCACAGACACUCAGCACCAGCCUGUGAAAGCAGCCAGGAGGAGGGCUGUACCCUGCAAAUCAACAGGGGUGGAGCUGCCCAAGGCCAUGAGAGCCCACCUCUUGCUUCAGUGUGACCUGGAUGUGAGACACGAAGUCAAAGGAAAUCAUUACAGAGCUUCAAGAUUUGACUGACCCAUUGAAUUUUGGACUUGCAUGGGGCCUGCAAUCCCUUCAUUUUGGCCAAUUUCUCCCAUUUGGAACAGGUGUAUUUACCCAAUGCCUAUAUCUUCAUUGAAUCUAUGAAGUAACUAACUUGAUUUUGAUUUUACAGGCUCAUAGGAAGAAGGGCCUUGCCUUGUCUAAGAUAAGACUUUGGACUUGGACAUUUGGGUUAAUGCUGGAAUGAGCUAAGACUUUGGGGGACUGUUAGAAAGGCAUGAUCAUGUUUUAAAAUGUAAGGACAUGAGAUUUGGAAGGGGCUGGGGGCAGAAUGAUAUGGUUUGGCUGUGUCCCCACCCAAAUCUCACCUUGAAUUGUAGUUUCCACAAUCCCUACAUGUUGUGGGAGUAACCCAGUUGGAGGUAAUUGAAUCAUGGGGGUGGUUACCCCAUGCUGGUCUCAUGACAGUGAGUGAUACCUGAAGGUUUUAUAAGGGGCUUUUCCCCUUUCGCUCAGCACCUCCUGCUGCCUUGUGAAGAAGGUGCCUUGAUUCUUGUUUGCAUUCACCAUGAUUCUAAGUUUUCUGAAGCCUUCCCAGCCAUGCUGAACUGUGAGUCAAUUAAACCUCUUUCUUUUAUAAAUUA